CACUGGGAACAAUUUUUUUAAAAGCUAAACUUUAAAUCCCCCAUUUACACAUUGACCACACUUGUAAAACGUUUGUCCACACAAUUGCAUAUUUGAGCAAUGACCUUGGCCGGGUUAAGAGUAUUUCACCCAAAUUUUACCUUCCUUUUGUGUUGGCCUGUCCUUAUGGGGUACUCGCUGGACUGUUCUAACUUCAGUAACUCCUAGGGACAUUUUGAGCUGGUUUCUUCCAAAGGGAAUUGUGACUGGUUAGAAUCUACUUCAGCUCCUGAAGAACAUGCCUUUUAAUGGGCUCGUGUGUGCCGUGGCUGCACGUGGGGCCAGGUUCCUUUGGAGAAUGGAGAGAAAUGGCUGAAAUGAAUUCCCAACUCUGGAAUGAGAGCCUGUUGCGUGUUUUAAAAAGCCGUUGGCUGAGCUCAAGGCAUAGCUGGAUGAAGCAGAGAUGUGAAAGCUCCAGUUGUCCAUAAAUAUGUUCCCAGAGUUGUAAAGACGAGGUUUUGCUUUAUUUUGAAAAAAGCUGUUUUCCUUGUGAGGUUGGAGUAGCUACAGAACCUGAGUCCAACUGGUAAACUGGUUCUGUGGUUCUGCUGUUAAUCCUCAGGAUCUGACUGACUGCAGCAAAAUCAGAAGGACACCAUCCGGGAAGAGUCGCCCAGUGAUAUUCUCAACAUGGGGCCCUCGAUGCGCCUUAGCAGCUCUCUGUCUUCACCUUGCCAACCGCCUUCCAAGAGGAAGGGAGGGGACAGAACACAUUUCCCAACUCUGGUGUCAUUGAUAACAAAGUGAAACAGACAAUACGAUGAAGUUACGUAAAUUAUAGUUAGCGUUGGGAAUGCAAGCCUUGUCAGAUGAUACUCUUCCUAUGUCAUCUGGAUUGCAAUCCUAAAGGUCAUUGCCAUUUAUAAACUGGAAAGAAAUCCACUCAAUAAAACAACUAUCACCAAUUCUAAGCAGCCUGGAUGCAGGUAAAGUUUGUCCCAAGGGUGCCUCGUACCCACUCUUCCAUAUUCAGCCUCCAAGUCUAUUGCUUUAGACUUGUCACAAAUUGUCCAGUUUUCUACUAUUGUUCCUGCUUUCAAACAAACAUUUAAAAAAAAUCCUGCCUUACAAAUAUAUGGAGCUUGCUAACUUUUCCCCUGUGAGGAGACGUGUUUUUAACAAGAUGCAGUAAAACCGUGAUAAUUAAUACACAUGCAUUGUUAAUUACAGAAAUUUAAACAUUAGCCCACUCCAGAUUUUUAAAAAUAUGUUUUUUUUAAUUGCUGGUAAGAAACUAGUGACGGCAUGCAUUAAUGAGGCCAGCUGUAGCUGAAUAAACAUCUCUUGCAGAAAGAA